AUCCAGCUGACGAGUUCCAAAUAGGAUGAAACGCGUGUCCUGGAU
rnacentral:hammerhead_ribozyme from 1 species